rnacentral:rRNA from 1 species
UUAUAUGGUCAAGAAGAGAAGCGCAAACGGUGGAUGCCUUGGCAGUAAGAGGCGAAGAAGGACGUGGAAUCCUGCGAAAAGCUAUGGGGAGCUGGAAACGAGCGUUGAGCCAUAGAUGUCCGAAUGGGGGAACCCGGCUGCAGCGAUGCGGUCAUUUGCAUUUGAAUACAUAGGAUGCAAAGGCGAACUCGGGGAACUGAAACAUCUAAGUACCCGAAGGAAAAGAAAUCAAGAGAGAUUCUCCAAGUAGCGGCGAGCGAACGGGGAGGAGCCUGGCGUGAUUUAUUAUUGAACUGAGUAGAACAAUUUGGGAAAGUUGGCGAUAGAGGGUGAAAGCCCCGUAUACGAAGGUUUGAUGAGGAACUAGGCACGCGAACAAGUAGGCCGGGACACGUGAAAUCCUGGUUGAAGAUGGGUGGACCAUCAUCCAAGGCUAAAUACUACUUACUGACCGAUAGUGAACCAGUACCGUGAGGGAAAGGUGAAAAGAACCCCGGAGAGGGGAGUGAAAUAGAAUCUGAAACCGUUUGCGUACAAGCAGUGGGAGCAUGGUUUAGGCUGUGUGACUGCGUACCUUUUGUAUAAUGGGUCAGCGAGUUACUUUCAGUGGCGAGGUUAACUGAAUAAGGGAGCCGUAGAGAAAUCGAGUCUGAAUAGGGCGAUAGUCGCUGGGAGUAGACCCGAAACCGGGCGAUCUAGUCAUGUGCAGGAUGAAGGUUGGGUAACACCAACUGGAGGUCCGAACCGGGUAAUGUUGAAAAAUUAUCGGAUGACGUGUGGCUAGGAGUGAAAGGCUAAUCAAGCCCGGAGAUAGCUGGUUCUCCCCGAAAGCUAUUUAGGUAGCGCCUCGUGAAUGAUUACUGGGGGUAGAGCACUGUUUCGGCUAGGGGGCUGUCAUGGCUUACCAAACCGAUGCAAACUCCGAAUACCGGCUAAUUGGAUCACGGGAGACACACGGCGGGUGCUAACGUCCGUCGUGGAGAGGGAAACAACCCAGACCGCCAGCUAAGGUCCCCAAGUACUAGUUAAGUGGGAAACGAUGUGGGAAGGCAUAGACAGCCAGGAGGUUGGCUUAGAAGCAGCCACCCUUUAAAGAAAGCGUAAUAGCUCACUGGUCGAGUCGGCCUGCGCGGAAGAUGUAACGGGGCUAAAACUAGUCACCGAAGCUGCGGAUGUGCGCGAAGGCGCACGUGGUAGGGGAGCGUUCUGUAGGCUGAUGAAGGUGCAUUGAGAAGUGUGCUGGAGGUAUCAGAAGUGCGAAUGCUGACAUGAGUAACGAUAAUGUGGGUGAAAAGCCCACACGCCGGAAGUCCCAGGUUUCCUGCACGACGUUAAUCGGAGCAGGGUGAGUCGGCCCCUAAGGUGAGGCUGAAGAGCGUAGUCGAUGGGAACCAGGUUAAUAUUCCUGGACUUUUUAUAAGUGGUGAAGUGGGGACGAAGAAGGCUAGGUGAGCCAGGCGUUGGUUGUCCUGGUACUUGCAUGUAGGGGGGAAGACUUGGCAAAUCCGGUUUUCCAUAACUCUGAGGUGCGAAGUGGUUCUGACCUUUUGGUACAGAGAAGUCAUUGAUGCCCGGCUUCCAGGAAAAGCUGCUAGCCAUAACUUAUAGAGAACCGUACCGCAAACCGACACAGGUGGACAGGUAGAGAAUACUAAGGCGCUUGAGAGAACUCGGGUGAAGGAACUAGGCAAAAUGGUACCGUAACUUCGGGAGAAGGUACGCCCUUUUGGGUGAGGGCAUUUACUGUCUGAGCUU